GAAAGGCCCUGCUUGCAGGUACUCGAGUGGCGAACGGGUGAGUAACACGUGGGUGAUCUGCCCUGCACUUCGGGAUAAGCUUGGGAAACUGGGUCUAAUACCGGAUAGGAACCAUCUUUAGUGUGGUGGUUGGAAAGUUUUUUCGGUGUACGAUGAGCUCGCGGCCUAUCAGCUUGUUGGUGGGGUAAUGGCCUACCAAGGCGGCGACGGGUAGCCGGCCUGAGAGGGUGUACGGCCACAUUGGGACUGAGAUACGGCCCAGACUCCUACGGGAGGCAGCAGUGGGGAAUAUUGCACAAUGGGCGCAAGCCUGAUGCAGCGACGCCGCGUGGGGGAUGAAGGCCUUCGGGUUGUAAACUCCUUUCGCUAGGGACGAAGCUCUUUGUGACGGUACCUAGAUAAGAAGCACCGGCUAACUACGUGCCAGCAGCCGCGGUAAUACGUGGGGUGCGAGCGUUGUCCGGAAUUACUGGGCGUAAAGGGCUCGUAGGUGGUUUGUCGCGUCGUCUGUGAAAUUCUGGGGCUUAACUCCGGGCGUGCAGGCGAUACGGGCAUAACUUGAGUGCUGUAGGGGUAACUGGAAUUCCUGGUGUAGCGGUGAAAUGCGCAGAUAUCAGGAGGACACCGAUGGCGAAGGCAGGUUACUGGGCAGUUACUGACGCUGAGGAGCGAAA
rnacentral:rRNA from 1 species